rnacentral:misc_RNA from 1 species
AAAGCUGUAGACAUCGCUUUUCUCUGUUAAUUGACCAUAAAGAGCAUACUCUGGUGCUAAAUAGCCAUGUGUGCCUGCUACCCUUGUUGUGAGGUGUGACUGACCUUCCAAGCUUUGCUUAGCCAACCCGAAAUCUGCAACUUUUGCUUUCAUUUCGAGGUCCAAUAGUAUGUUUGUUGUCUUGAUGUCUCGGUGAUAAAUGGCAGGUUUGAGACCAUAGUGCAAGUAAGCAAGUCCUUUGGCCACGUCCAGGACAAUGUUCUUUCUAUGAGGCCAAGUCAAUUGCUUCCUGCUAUGGUCGCUGGACAAAUGGUCGCUGAACAAAUGGUCACUGAGGCUACCGUUAGACAUGAAAUCAUAAACAAGAUAUCUCCUUUUACCUUUCAAGAUAUCGCUUGCAACGCAGCACCCUCGAAGAGAAAGAAGAUUCCUGUGCCUAAUUUUGCUUAUGAUCUCAACCUCAUUGGAGAAUUCGUCAUCUCCCUGUGAAUCCAAGUCAUGCAUUUGCUUCACUGCAACCGUAGUUCCAUCUGCUAGAAUCCCUUUGUACACAACUCCAUAAGUGCCUUGUCCAAUGAAAUUCCUCUGCGAAAAUCCCUGAGUAGCUCGUUCAAGUUCUGAUAAGUUGAACCAUUUUGCACCUGAGUUAGGCAACACACUGGUCCUGAAACUGCUCACAUAUAGCUCAUGUGAAGCAUUAAGCUUCCUCUUCUUAUGCCAUCUCCUGUACCAAAGAAUUAGUCCAAUAGCAAGUAAAGCACCAAUAACAGCACCUGUGAAUCCGAAAACCAAUUUCAAAGGCCUAUCUUUGCUGGAACUUUUGGACGUCUUGUUAGUUGCUGAGCCUGUCAAUGGCAAGCCUAGCAUACAACCAGCUGUUCUGGGAUCCAUUGGACCAAACUCAUUAACAAUUGCAGCAGCAUACAAACAAGUGAAAUAAAAGCAUUUUGAAUUGGCAUUUGGAUCUAAACCAGUUAACUGGGAAGUCACUUUUUGGCCAGCAUCAAGACAGGAGCUGCACUGGGUUAGUCCUGAUACAUCUCCUUUACAAGAAGUCUGCAAAGGGGUGAUUGGACCUACCUUCUCUGUCCAAUCUUGGGUAGUGAAAAUUCCAACACAACUAGAAGCGUUAGCAACAAAUUGAUUAGAGUUGUUGAAGCAGAAAGGGACUAAUGAUGGGUCAAUGGACAUAGCAGAAAGCUUGGCUUGAAAAUCAGAGAGGCAAGAAGAGGAAGCAUUAGCAUUAGGCAGUUGAAACAUGGAGGUCUCUCUAAGAUGCUGGGCUAUUCCCAUGCCAAGGAGGCUGAGAAGAGUCACGCAGCAAUGUCCCUCAUCAGGCUUGCGACACCCAGAUGAAUCCCAUGGGGUGGUUUGAACAUAACUGAGAUCUAUGGGACAGGACGAAGAGGCUGAACUGGAAUCAAUGGAGGAAAUGGUAAAGAA